GCUCUAUUCAGGUUGUUAAUGACUUGCUAAAUCCAGCUGGGCAGAAUUUAAGAAUCAGAGAGGACACUCAGGGGACCUUUGUGGAAGGAAUUAAGGAAGAAGUUGUUUUAUCCCCCGCUCAUGCUCUAUCCCUUAUUGCUGCUGGGGAAGAGCAUAGGCAUGUUGGUUCCACAAACUUCAAUCUACUCAGUAGCAGAAGUCAUACAAUAUUUACGCUGACAAUAGAAAGUAGCCCCUGCGGUGAAUAUAGUGAAGGAGGGGCAGUUACUUUGUCACAGCUGGUAAAAACUCUGCUCUAGACUUGUUAGACUUCAACAUAAUUACUUUGAACAAAUCAUACAUUCCUUGCAUUAGGGUAGGCUGUGUACAUCACACCCCUUGGGAAAGGGGUGCGGCCCUUCAUCGGACCCUGCUAACGCGUGAUGCUUUGUGCACCAGGCUGCCUUAAUACAUUCCUUACAGCUUGUUUGGAUGGUUGUUACCUAUUUUAUUGUGUCAAAUUAUUACUUUAAAUACAAUAUCUGUUUUGAUGGUUACUUGAGUUUUACUGUAUCGUAUUGUUAAAUUCAUUGUAAUGUAACGAUCAAAAGUGCCAUUUAUGUAACGGCCUAUUUGGUGUGGUCGCGUUAUUACCUUUUUUCCCGCUUUUCAUUUUGACCUUAUUAUAUUUAAUAAUCCUAUUUUACCCUUUACCCCAUUUUUUUUUAUUUUUUAUAAUAAUUCCAGUCGUGCCCAACAUUUUCUUUUUAAUAUUGUGAGUUAAUUAUUCAUAUUGCUGGUACGUGGUGUUAUGAGACGACGAAAAACGAUACAAUUUAUCAAACGUUUAUAGUUAUCAAAACAAUACAAUAGAAGAUGAUACGAAACACUAUGUAACGAUGUAUAACAACCAUCCAAACAAGCUGUUACUGGCCUAAACUACUCGUUUUAGGAGAAGAACAAGGAGUAUGGUGGAAUUUUCUGAUAUCAUUGAAGACAUGAACUUAAUUGAUCUACAAUUAGAAGAUGGUAACUACACAUGGUUCAAAGGGGAUAAUCAAGAUAGAGCUUCCAGAAUUGAUAGGUUCCUGAUUUCUGAGGAGUGGGAUGACAGUUUUAGUAAUAUAAAACAGAUUCCCCUACAAAGAUUAGCAUCUGAUCACAUUCCACUAGCUUUAGAGGGGGGCACGUGGAACAGGAGCAAAAACUAUUUCAAGUUUGAGAACUGGUGGCUAGGAACAACUGGUUUUUCAAUGACAGAGUCCAAGAAUGGUGGAGCUCUUUCAUUUUUUCAGGCAUGCCUGACUAUGUACUGGCUUGUAAAUUAAAAGCUCUCAAAUCAAAACUCAAGGACUGGAGCAGAAGUGAGACAGGAAAUUUGGGUCAUCAAAGGAAGAAGCUGUUAAG